rnacentral:lncRNA from 1 species
GAUAUAUCCUUAUAAGGUAAUAAUCUGUUCUCUGUAUGCUGAUUGGUUGCAUUAUGGUAUAUAUGCUGCCACCCCUUCCAGGCGCGGAGAGAGAGUGGGGUAGAGAUCCGGAGAUGAGGAACUAAAGUAAACUCCUUGUGUAUCAAGUGUGUGCCUCUUUGCUCGCGCGUCGCCAGUUCAGGCCCCUGUAGUCGCAGACCGAGUUACCCAAGGCAAUCCGGCUCGCGACAGUCAGGACCCUAAAGGAACUCAGCAGAGUUGGUUAACGUCUCCAGCUCUGCGACACCUCCCUUGGGUGUCUUUGGCUGUUAACACAGCCUUGUAUGUGCCCUUAUGUGGGGCUCAACCGAGUCUUUGCAGGUAUCUCUUGUGGACAAAGCUAAAAAACAUUUCAGCACACAGCCUUGAAAGUUCUCUUAGGGUUUAGGACCUGCUGGCAGGAUCCUGAUGUCGCGGCUCGUGACAGGAAAGAACAUUGGGCAUGGCAAACACAGCCCCAGUCCUUAGCGGAAGAACAGCCCAGAUAGACUGUUUCCACUUAACAAAGGUGGCCUGUGUGCCCACUCCUCACCCCGCUCUGCCCAGAGAAGCUUCACAACUCUGUUGCACACACCCUCUCCUCCAAAGCCUGGCAUGUUCCACAGAAGGACCUGGAGUGCAGAGCUGGAAACGAGGGUCCAUGUGCCUCGACUGCCACUCCCAGGCCAUACUGGUGAGACUCCCUUCAUCACCAGCUACUGCCUCCUCAGAUGAAGCUCAAGGAGGGCCAGCUUUCCUUUGGGAUCAGGAGUGUGGAGGUCACCUACUGAACGAGCACCCCACCUUCCUACUCCUUUCACCAGCACCUUGCCCUUCACACCUAUUUCUGCAGCACUGAAGAGCGGCUGGGAUGAAUUUCACAAAAUGAUGUUGUCCGAAGAAGCCAAAUACAGAUUCCAGGGUGCUUGCUAUCCAGAUAAAAUUAUGAUAGUUAAGCUCACUGCUCCUACUAUAUUACUGAUGUCACUGAUCGUCUCUUCUGGGUGUUCAACCACCAAAGAGCAGAGACCAACACUAGAAGUCAACUGGGCUAAAAAGACCACCUAUAUUUUGGCCCUGACCUCCAAGUUCAUCAGAGAUCCAAGGUAUGAAGGAACCUUUUCUACAAUGCAUUACAUCUUUGGUAAGUCACCCAAACUCCUGAGCAAGAAGAUUGCUGGACACCAGAGAACAAAUGUAACAUGUUCCAAAAGAGGGUCAUCAAGAAAAAAAACUCCCACACUUUCACUAAAAACAACUUCAUUAAGCAAGGCCCAUGACCCAUCCUAAUGGCUGAUACUGACAGGAGCUGAGAGGCUGUAUGCAUGGUUUCAAAAUAAUGCCUAAAGAGACUUAACUGGCCUUGACAGACAUGACCCAUCCUAAUGGCUGACACUGACAGGAGCUGAGAGGCUGUAUGCAUGGUUUCAAAAUAAUGCCUAAAGAGACUUAACUGGCCUUGACAGAUAGCAAGAUAUUCAUACUGAUUAACACAGGUCUCACUUUAACUUGAUCUUAAACACCCAGCAGAAAAGAAUAACCAGAAGAGUCAGUCAAUGAACAGGCACUAGCAAUAGAGAGACUCUUGAGGCCCGCCACUCCACCUCCCUAUAAAGGGAUAGAUCUCCAAGUGGUACACCAGAUAACCCAGUCUCAAAAGGCUACACCACCUAUUUAAUACCACACCCAACUACCUCCCUGUCAAUAUCUCAGAUUGUAGGAUGUGUAUGUCCGUUUACCCCCACUCGUUCACUCCAAUUCCCAGAUUCCUAGAUUUUAACCUGUCUGUGUCAAAUACUGGCAAUUUAUCCAUAGUUCUGGGACCCUUCAAUACAGGUCUCUCAUUCCCUACACAAACCACUAAGCUGACAUGCACAGGGCAAAAUGACAUCAUUUGUCUUGAUUGCUCCCUCUUUAUCUCAGAAGAGCAUCCGAUCUCCCGUCCAAUAGCCUGUACUUCGUAUGUAAUCAAGAGACAUUCCAAUGCCUCAAUCAGUCUGACAUUUUCUGUUACAUAUCCUUCCUUGGCCCUCCCAUGACCACUUAUAUGGAAGCCCAGAUGUCUAAACAAGUUCUCUCACAGAACACAAUCAGAAAAAAGGGCAGCUCUCCUUCGAGUCCCCUUCUUAAUGGGAGCAGGGAUCCUCACUGGGAUAGCAAUGAGGAUAGCGGGCAUUCUAUAUCUAUAUAUUUCUAUCAGGCCCUGUCCAUAGAGGUUUUGGAAGAAAUGGAUAAAAUAAGCCGGUCCUUAAACAUAGCACAAGAUAAAUAAAUUAUCUAGCAGCUGUCGUGUUACAAAAUAGAAGGACCCUUGACAUGCUGACAGCAACCCAAGGGGGAAUGUGCCAGGUGCUAGGUGAAGAAUGCUAUUGUUUUGUUAACUGGUCAGGGAUUGUUAAAGCAAAGGUUAAAGAAUUAUAGCAGCCCAUCAAAGAGUGAAAAAGACUAUGGAAUUCUUGGGGAAUAGACCAGAGCUUUUCCUGGCUUCCCCAAAUGAUACCUUGGCUACUUCCCUUGUUGGGCCCAAAUGACUACUUAUAUGGAAGCCCAGAUGUCUAAACAAGUUCUCUCACAGAACACAAUCAGAAAAAGGGCAGCUGUCCUUCGAGUCCCCUUCUUAAUGGGAGCAGGGAUCCUCACUGGGAUAGCAAUGAGGAUAGCGGGCAUUCUAUAUACAUUUCUAUCAGGCCCUGUCCAUAGAGGUUUUGGAAGAAAUGGAUAAAAUAAGCCAGUCCUUAAACAUAGCACAAGAUAAAUUAUCUAGCAGCUGUCGUGUUACAAAAUAGAAGGGCCCUUGACAUGCUGACAGCAACCCAAGGGGGAAUGUGUCAGGUGCUAGGUGAAGAAUGCUAUUAUUUUGUUAACUGGUCAGGGAUUGUUAAAGCAAAGGUGAAAGAAUUAUAGCAGCCCAUCAAAGAGUGAAAAAGACUAUGGAAUUCUUGGGGAAUAGACCAGAGCUUUUCCUGGCUUCCCCAAAUGAUACCUUGGCUACUUCCCUUGUUGGGCCCACUGGUUUGUAUAUGCCUUUUAAUUAUGAUAGGGCCCUAUCUGCUUUGCUGUUUUCAAAAUUUCUUGCAGGAACACAUGAGGGGAUUUACCAACCAGACAGUCAUGGAACUCAUCAUGGUGGGGUACCAGCUACUGUGGCAGAGAGAAGAAACCCCCACCUACCACUGCCCCCACCAGAUUCAGGUUUAGCCUGAAUGCUCCUUUGCUUCUUCAUCUACUUGAAGCAGCUCCAGAAGAAGAGACCUUCUCCCAAUAACCAUAAAACAAAAAGCCUGGAAUAUUAGAUUUCUCUUGUCUUAAAAUGGCUGCCACAUGGAAUAGCAGCCUCCAUGUUAAAAUAUGGCUUCGCCCAACAAAGGACAGGCUUCUUCCCAUCAUGCCGCUUCUCCCGCCAAGAGUAACCUGAUACUUGCUGCCUCCUAGCAACUAGUGAUGUCACAGGCUCCUCCAAUCUCUUAAUACUACCUUGCUCAACUCCACCCCGGCUCAGGUUAACCCCACCCCACUCCUAUAAAAGAAGCUCCUUAUGCUGCCAUGUUGCUCUCUUUCCUUUGUUCAGAUACAGCCCGGCAGAUCCUCC